UGGGGAAUAUUGGGCAAUGGAGGAAACUCUGACCCAGCAACGCCGCGUGAAUGAUGAAGGUCUUCGGAUUGUAAAGUUCUUUUCUAAGGGAAGAAGAAAGUGACGGUACCUUAGGAAUAAGCCUCGGCUAACUACGUGCCAGCAGCCGCGGUAAUACGUAGGAGGCAAGCGUUAUCCGGAAUGACUGGGCGUAAAGGGUGCGUAGGUGGUUUGACAAGUUGGUAGCGUAACUCCGGGGCUCAACCUCGGCACUACUACCAAAACUGUUGGACUUGAGUGCAGGAGGGGCAAAUGGAAUUCCUA
rnacentral:rRNA from 1 species